UUCCGGUUGAUCCUGCCGGGACCCGACUGCUAUCGAAAUGGGACUAAGCCAUGUUAGUCGAACGUCUUUUAACUAUGUGAAGGGCGUGGCGUACGGCUCAGUAACACGUUGUCAAUCUACCCUGAAGACGUGGAUAACCCCGGGAAACUGGGAUUAAACCACGAUAGAUCAAGAUUUCUGGAAUGGAUUUUGAUUCAAAGGAAGGAUGAGCAUGUUCAUCUAUUUGCCUCAGGAUGGGACUGCGACCGAUCAGGUUGUUGGUGGAGUAAUAGCCCACCAAGCCAGUAACCGGUACGGGCUUUGAGAGAAGGAGCCCGGAGAUGGACACUGAGAAAAGAGUCCAGGUCCUACGGGGCGCAGCAGGCGCGAAACCUUCGCAAUGCACGAAAGUGCGACGAGGUUAUUUCGAGUGCUAUCCGCUGAGGAUAGCUUUUGUCAGGUGUAAAUAGCCUGGAGAAUAAGGGGAGGGCAAGUCUGGUGUCAGCCGCCGCGGUAAUACCAGCUCCCCGAGUGGUCGGGACGAUUAUUGGGCCUAAAGCAUCCGUAGCCUGCUUUGCAGGUCUUCUGUUAAAUUCAACGGCUUAACCGUUGAGCUGCAGGAGAUACCACAAGGCUAGGAGGCGGGAGAGGUAGACGGUACUCCAUGGGUAGGGGUAAAAUCCUCUGAUCCAUGGAAGACCACCAGUGGCGAAGGCGGUCUACCAGAACGCGCUCGACGGUGAGGGAUGAAAGCUGGGGGAGCGAACCGGAUUAGAUACCCGGGUAGUCCCAGCUGUAAACGAUGCUAGCUAGGUGACGGAGUGGUUUCGUACCAUUCCGGUGCCGCAGGGAAGCCGUUAAGCUAGCCGCCUGGGGAGUACGGUCGCAAGACUGAAACUUAAAGGAAUUGGCGGGGGAGCACCACAAGGGGUGAAGCCUGCGGGUUCAAUUGGAGUCAACGCCGGG
rnacentral:rRNA from 1 species